rnacentral:rRNA from 1 species
CGGACGGGUGAGUAACGCGUGAGAAUCUGCCUUUAGGUCCGGGACAACCACUGGAAACGGUGGCUAAUACCCGAUGUGCGCAACGUGAAAGAUUUAUCGCCUGAAGAGGAGCUCGCGUCUGAUUAGCUAGUUGGUGGGGUAAAAGCUCACCAAGGCGACGAUCAGUAGCUGGUCUGAGAGGAUGAUCAGCCACACUGGGACUGAGACACGGCCCAGACUCCUACGGGAGGCAGCAGUGGGGAAUUUUCCGCAAUGGGCGAAAGCCUGACGGAGCAAGACCGCGUGAGGGAGGAAGGCUCUUGGGUCGUAAACCUCUUUUGUCAGGGAAGAACACAAUGACGGUACCUGACGAAUCAGCAUCGGCUAACUCCGUGCCAGCAGCCGCGGUAAUACGGAGGAUGCAAGCGUUAUCCGGAAUUAUUGGGCGUAAAGCGUCCGUAGAUGGUUUUGCCAGUCGGCUGUCAAAGCACAGGGCUUAACCCUGGAAAGGCCGUGGAAACUGACGAGCUAGAGUGCAGUAGGGGUAGAGGGAAUUCCCGGUGUAGCGGUGAAAUGCGUAGAGCUCGGGAAGAACAUCGGUGGCGAAAGCGCUCUACUGGACUGCAACUGACACUCAGGGACGAAAGCUAGGGGAGCGAAUGGGAUUAGAUACCCCAGUAGUC